GACGAACCGUACGAACGUUAUCCGGAUUCACUGGGCGUAAAGGGCGCGUAGGCGGCUACGUAAGUCCGGCGUGAAAUCCCAGGGCUCAACCCUGGAACUGCGUCGGAUACUGCGUUGGCUGGAGGAUGGUAGAGGUUCGGGGAACUAGCGGUGUAGCGGUGAAAUGCGCAGAUAUCGCUAGGAACGCCGGUGGCGAAGGCGCCGGACUGGGCCAUUCCUGACGCUGAGGCGCGAAAGCUAGGGGAGCGAACCGG
rnacentral:misc_RNA from 1 species